rnacentral:rRNA from 1 species
UACAGAGGUCUCAAGCGUUGUUCGGAUUCAUUGGGCGUAAAGGGUGCGUAGGCGGCGCGGUAAGUCGGGUGUGAAAUCUCGGAGCUUAACUCCGAAACUGCAUUCGAUACUGCCGUGCUUGAGGACUGGAGAGGAGACUGGAAUUUACGGUGUAGCGGUGAAAUGCGUAGAUAUCGUAAGGAAGACCAGUGGCGAAGGCGGGUCUCUGGACAGUUCCUGACGCUGA